GACGAACGCUGGCGGCGUGCUUAACACAUGCAAGUCGAACGGAAAGGCCCUGCUUUUGUGGGGUGCUCGAGUGGCGAACGGGUGAGUAACACGUGGGUCACCUGCCCUGGACUUUGGGAUAACUUCAGGAAACUGGGGCUAAUACCGGAUAGGAGCUCCUGCUGCAUGGUGGGGGUUGGAAAGUUUAGGCGGUUGGGAGUGGACUCGGGGCUUAUCAGCUUGUUGGUGGGGUAGUGGCUUACCAAGGCUUUGACGGGUGGGCGGCCUGAGAGGGUGACCGGCCACAUUGGGACUGAGAUACGGCCCAGACUCGUACGGGGGGCAGAAGUGGGGAAUAUUGCACAGUGGGCGGAAGCCUGAUGCAGCAACGCCGCGUGCGGGAUGACGGCCUUCGGGUUGUAAACCGCUUUCGCCUGUGACGAAGCGUGAGUGACGGUAAUGGGUGAAGAAGCACCGGCUAACUACGUG
rnacentral:rRNA from 1 species